rnacentral:rRNA from 1 species
UACGUAGGGGGCAAGCGUUAUCCGGAUUUACUGGGUGUAAAGGGAGCGUAGACGGCAGAUCAAGUCUGAUGUGAAAGGCAGGGGCUUAACCCCUGGACUGCAUUGGAAACUGGUCAGCUGGAGUGCCGGAGGGGUAAGCGGAAUUCCUAGUGUAGCGGUGAAAUGCGUAGAUAUUAGGAGGAACACCAGUGGCGAAGGCGGCUUACUGGACGUGCACUGACGUUAAGGCUCGAAAGCGUGGGGAG